rnacentral:rRNA from 1 species
UACAGAGGUCCCAAGCGUUGUUCGGAUUCACUGGGCGUAAAGGGUGCGUAGGCGGUCGGGUAAGUCUGAUGUGAAAUCUCACAGCUUAACUGUGAAACUGCAUUGGAUACUAUCCGGCUCGAGGAAUGGAGGGGAGACUGGAAUACUUGGUGUAGCAGUGAAAUGCGUAGAUAUCAAGUGGAACACCAGUGGCGAAGGCGAUCACCUGGGGUUGUUCUGACGCUGAGGAGCGAAAGCUAGGGGAGCAAACGGG